GACCGCACGAGAUAAUUGAUUAUCCCGUGCAGUUGGGUUAAGUGGACCGCACAGGAUAAUCGAUUAUCCCGUGCGGUC
rnacentral:pre_miRNA from 14 species